UACAGAGGGUGCGAGCGUUAAUCGGAAUUACUGGGCGUAAAGCGCGCGUAGGCGGCUUUGCAAGUCGGGUGUGAAAUCCCCAGGCUUAACCUGGGAACUGCAUUCGAGACUGCAUUGCUAGAGUAUGGGAGAGGGUAGUGGAAUUUCCGGUGUAGCGGUGAAAUGCGUAGAUAUCGGAAGGAACACCGGUGGCGAAAGCGGCUCACUGGACCGUUUCUGACGCUGAGGUGCGAAAGCUAGGGGAGCAAACGGG
rnacentral:rRNA from 1 species